GGAGGAGGUCAGGUGAUCGCUGUACUGUUUCGACAGGCAGAGGAAAGUCCGGGCUCCACAGGACGCGGCGGUGGGUAACUCCCACCGGUCGAAAGACCAGGGCAAGUGCAACAGAAAGCAAACCGCCUCAGCGAUCUUCCUUCGGGAAGUUUGCGAAGCAAAGUCGGCAACGACUUUCGGGGUAAGGGUGAAACGGUGCGGUAAGUGCGCACCAGCGGUUCAGGUGACUGAGCCGGCUGGGUAAACCCCAUCGGGAGCAAGGCCAUGCAGAAGGAAACUCGCUUCCGGGCGAGUACGAUGCGGUCCGUAUCGUCUGACCUUCGGGUGGGCUGCUUGAGGUGCGGAGCAAUUCGCAUCCCAGAGAAAUGAACGCCCGCGACGGUGAUCUGUCGUCGACAAAACCCGGCUUAUCGGUCGUCUGCCGCC
rnacentral:RNase_P_RNA from 1 species